AAAAAAAAAUAAGGCGAAUCCAAGUGGGGGCUAGUAUUGUUUUCACGCUGUCCUCCGGCCUUGCCCCAGCCAACUGGCAGGAGACAGCAGGCAGCAGAUGUCUCGGGAGGACAAAGCCAGACACACACUACACCAGACACUCAUAAUUGAUGGCUUUUGUCGAGCGGGGCUUGCGUUAGGUCCCCCCCUCCCCGCCUCCUUGUCUUCAACUUUCUGUGUGUAUCCCCUGCCCCAGCUCGCCACCCCUUCGACAGGGGGUUGGAGAGUGGGACGACUUUCUUAUUUGCACUGGGUUUUCUUUUUCUCGAGCGUUUGUAUUUCCUUCUUACUUUAUUGUAUUGUUGAACGGACAAUUGUGAUUAGCUCGGAGACCGGCAAAGUGAUGCCUUCCCCUGAGCUGACUCAUGGUUUACGUGAAGAUGCUGAAGCAGAAGGUGUGUUUUAAAGGAGUCCAAAAGCCACUGCAGAAGUAACGUAGCCACCGUCGUCUUGCCAGUACCUUCUCGAUGGAUUGAGAGCUCCUCUGAGCUGGGAGCUCUAAGAAACAGGGGAUUCUGCGGCUCUGUUCGAGUCGCCAUUAUCUCUUAGACACUAUAACCCUUUUUUUUCUUUUUUUUUUUUUUUUUAAUACUUUUUUUUUUCCAUUGAAGGAGUGCUUUAUUGUCAUUACUGUCAUGGUUGUAAUUAUACAUUUAAAUCCAGGCCUGUUAUAGUCAGGCUUAAUAAUGUACAGGGCAAGGGAGACGUGAAGGUUUUUUGUUCUUUGGAGACUAAUAAUGUGAAGAAAAUCAAUUUAUGACAAAAAGGAGGAAAAAAGUAGAGGAAAAAAUAGGAAAAGCCAAAAAUAGACAUUUUGAGCCUGGCUUCUAUCUAGCUGAAUUUGCUAUCCAGUGUUUCUAGGUGUGCGGUGUACGGGAGUGGCUCUGUCCCAUGGUCAGUGUAAGAGGCACUGUGUCACCAAGGGAUAGAUGAUGUGUUCGGAGGGGGAGACUUUGCUCGGGGAUCCCCAGGCAGCUCCAUGCUGGAGCAUCCUGAGGGAGGGGGUGGCUGCAGGGGGGUGAUGGCAAGACACCGCCUGGGCAAGGAGAUGCCUGGAGGGUGAGGAGGCUGGUACGGAGGGAUGCACCACGCCACUGCAUCGCUCCCUGAACCAUGAACAAGGCUUAGUGGUCUCUUUAUUUGCUUGUCUAGCGAUGCUUUGGCUUACUAAAUCGCUUCAGGUGCUUAUUUCAGCUGUGCGAGCUGCCCUGUCACAUCUGUGCAGUAGAAGAGAGCCAAGGAAGGCACAGUGCCGGCAGCCCGUCCUGUAUUCUUCCCAUUAUUCAACUUACUUUCCUUUCCUGGUGAGAAGAAGAGAAUUUAUGCCACGACGCUGGCGUGCAUGGCCCCCGGAUCAGGCAGGCUGGGUCUGAACCCAGCAGCUCAAACCCGUUUUUCCAAGGAAGACGUUGAAUUCCUGGUGGCUUGUACAGGAGAAAGUUUUCACCCUGACCUCUUUGGAUGUGCAGUAUGUUCUUGGGUGCCUUAUGAAUGUGUCGGUCUGUCUGUGAUGGGGUGGAAGCUUUCGCUGCAAAAUUUAAAGGGCAGAAAUUUUCAGCAGAAAAUGCAUUGCAGGAGACAGAGAGUCCUGAUGCUGCAGUUCAAUUUUAAAUUUAAAUUUUCAUCUAGUUGUCUGCUGAUGUGGUUCCUAACCUGCACAUGGAACAAGAGGAGCAAGCUGGAAACGGGAGCUUCAGUCCUCCUGUCUACCCAGAAAGCAGUAAAAUGGUUGCUGAAAGCACUGGACUUGGUUGGAAAAAUUAAUUUCUGCUUCAUGGAUUCGAGCCCGGGAGCUUUGCAUGGUGACAGUGCCUGGCGUUGCCUCAGCUUCGUUAGUAGCAAUGGGGUUUGAUAGUAUUAAUGAGCAGCUGAACUUGAUGGAGGCGGCAAAGCCCAUCAGUAUUAUAAGGCUCAGGGUUGUGCCCAUUGAUCUUGACUUUUCGUGCUCCCUGAUUUCUCAGGGAGUGGAGGAGAAGGGGAUUUAACACCUAUUGCCGUGUGCCCAGGCACAGCUUCAGCCUUCUGGGAGAAGACCAGAUAUCUGAUCUGAAAACCAGAUUUGUCUUGAUUAUUAUUUUUUUUUAAGAACAGAAAAGUCCUAUAAUGGGGGCACAGCCUGGUGGGUCAGGGUGCGAGGGAUCCUGCCGGCAGCGAUCCAGACCACCACUCUGGCCCCUGCAGCUUCUCCCUUCCCCCAGAAUUUGCUCUCGGGAUGUAGUGAAAGAAGAAAAGAAAAAAAAAAGAAAGAAAACCCCAGAGAAUUGGAGAUUUGGCUUCUAAAAUCCUGAAUUUUCACCUAUCAGUGCGUCAGGAGGCAUUCACAGUUGUGAAGCCACUGGCUACAUCUCCCCAGAUUAGCCAGAUUCAAUCUUCGCUGCUCAAUAGAAGUAUCCACGUGGGGCUUUAAUAUGACGUCCCCAUGCGGCUGUAUCAGCAAAGGGGCAAAGAACCUCCUCGAGCCAAAUAUGUAUGGGGCCAAACCUUGGGCUGGUAUGAAGGUGAGUGUCUGAAGCAUCUGCAGAGGAGCGAUGCUCUGCAGCACCGCCAUGCCGGUCCCCCUCGGAUGCAGAGCAGGUUUGCUGGCUCUCUGCCAGACUCCCCAGCAUCUAAUUCACGUCGUUCCUGGUGAAAUUAUUUCCCAGCUGAAGAUUUUUGCUACCCACAAAAUGACUUGCUUGGUUUCCCUGUGAGGGAUUUCACUCCCCUUUGGAGAAGUCUUAUGUAUAGGGAGGUGAAAUGAAAAUGGGGGGAAAAAAGGAAAAGUAAGCGAUUUGCCUGGUUCCCCUGUUCCCCUGAAGAAGAUUAAUUAGUAUCUAUUCUUGGCGUGAUUGAUGGCUUUGAAGGAAAACUUGUCAGAGUAACUUAUGAUUUAUUUUCAUGCUUAUUUUUGUAACAUCCCUCACUUGGAAGUCUCUCAAAAUCUUAAAUACUAUUUUUUUUCUCACUUCCCCGCUGGCUAUUUUAUGGCUUUACACUAAUCUUGCUCUUCUUGGUGUUAGCUAUUAGCAAGUCCCGGUGAUAUCUUCAGUAUCUUUUCAGGAGAAAUGACACUAAGGGUUGCAAAGUCCACUGUUGAUAGCCAAGGGAGCUGCGGUAUCCUGCAGAACACGGAGUUAACGCUAGCAAUUCAUUGUAUUUUUUUUAAUGUAUUUAUUUGCAUUUGAAAAAACAACAUUUUUAAUUUAAUCAUAUUUGUUAAACUAAGCGCUUUAAAAAAAUUAAAAAAAAAUUUAAAAAAAAUUAAAAAAAAGGAAAAAGGUUUGGGGAAGAAUAAAGACUAGAUAUUCAUACUAGAGAAAACACAAACUCAAUGUUUUCAGCAUUUCAGAGACUGUUAAAACAAGGGAGCUCAUAACUCUUUGUGGCAAUUCAGUCUUUGUUUAUAGAACAUCCAGACCCACUGUAUGCUAUAAAAUGCAUCAUCUGAGUAAUAAAUGUUUAAAGCUUGA